rnacentral:rRNA from 1 species
UACAUGAGUGGCUAGCGUUAUCCGUAUUUAUUGGGCGUAAAGGAUGAGUAGGUGGUAAAAGUAGUUACACUUUACUAUAACGGUUAACCGGGUUAAGUUGUAAUACCUUUUUACUAGAGUUUUUAGUUUGUAUUUAACAUCUACAAAUUAGUGAUAAAAUACUGUGAGUUUGUAGGUAUUACCGAUAGCGAAAGUAAAAUACCGCUAAAAACUGACACUGAGGCAUUAAAGUGUAGUCAUCCAAUAGGAUUAGAGACCCUAGUAGUCUACACUAUAAACGAUGAGUAUUAAACUAUUAGUUUAAGUUAACACGAAAAAUACUCCGCCUGGGCAGUAUAGUCGCAAGGUUGAAACUUAACAGAAUUGGCGGGAAUCCGUUCGAACGGUGGAACAUGUGGUUUAAUGCGAUAAUCCGCGAAAAAUCUUACCAAGAUUAUCAAAAUUUUCAGUUUGUUUUAACUAAACUUACUGCCGGGUUUUGAGAGGUACUGCAUGGCUGUCGUCAGUUCGUGCUGUGAGGUAUAAAAUUAAGUUUUAUAACGAACGAAACUCCAUUAAUUAGUUUUAAUAAAUUUUAUUUUAAGUUGUAAACAUUACACAAAUAAUGUUAAUUUGUAAAAUUUAUUUUUUAAUUUAAAGAUUUAUUAAUAAUGUUAUUUCUAUAACUCUAUUAAUAAAUGGAGGGAAGGACUGAAGUCAAGUCAUUAUGGUCCAUGUAUUUUGGGCUACACACGUGUUACAAAGGUAAAGACAAAGAGUCGCAAAAAAGUGAUUUAGAGCGAAUCUCUAAAAAUUAUCUUAGUCCAGAUUGUUUUCUGAAAUUCGAAAGCAUGAAGACGAAAUCGUUAGUAAUCGUAGAUUAGCACGCUACGGUGAAUGUAAAACCGGGUUUUGCACACACCGCCCAUCACGCUCUAAGAAUCAACGUGUGUUGAAGUGCCUUUUACGCUCAGUAAUGUCUCACCUGUACACUUAUAUUUUUAUAAAUUAUUGUGUACUGUCUCUGUUUUUUAUACAUAUACAUAUACGUAUAAAGACGUUGAUUGCUAACAUGAAUAUUUUAAAAAAGAAAAUCCUUUUAUGAUUUUGUAAUCCUUGGUUAGCGGGCACAGAAUGGGUUAAUAGGACAGGUUGGUUAUUUGAGUGAAGUUG